rnacentral:lncRNA from 1 species
UUUGCCAACAAUAAUUUCACAAAUGUAUAUAUAAAAUAAUAAAUUUUAUAUGUAUAUAAAUGUCAAUACAUAAAAUUGAUACACAAGUAUGUACUCACUAUAACUAAAUCUUCUAAAAUGUAUGCUUUUACUUGCAAAAAGAACAAAAGCAUCAUAUACCAAGGUUAUUAAAUUCUAAUCUAAUAAUUCCAAAAAUAAAUCUUCUUCCAACAACUUGUUGUACUGCAUGAACCAUAUUUCCAGCAAUGAGGAUUUAAGCAUGUCCAUCCUACAAAAGAAGAUAAAUAUCUUUAUAUUUUGAUAAAAGAAAGUUGUAAAGUACAAAACUACAAUUAACAAAGAAAAAGAGGAAAUCAGAUAUGCUUAUUGUCCACUUACUAAACAUUGCAAUUAUUUCAUCACUCAAAAUGUUACAUAUUACAGAAUUGUUGAAUAGAAACAUUCAACUAAAAAGAAAACUGAAUAUAAGUUGCAAAAUUAUCAGUUCAAGAGAAAUACUCCAAAUAGAAUUGAAUAAAUUGAGUUGUAAAUCUUUCAAAAAUUCCACAUCGAAGCUGAAUACUUCCCCAAACAAAGUUGUUGCACCAGAACCUACUAAAUACUCCGAAGAUACAAUAUUAUAGUCAAAACAAAAUACUAUACAAAUAUUUAUUCAAGUAAAUAGACUCAUUUGUGCAUACAACCAAGAUAUUUACUUUUUUCAUGAAAAAUAAAGUUACUUAGCAUGACUUGUAGACUUUACUCAUCCUCUUCUUCUAAAAUAUAGCACUAUAAGAUCAACAAGUAUAAAUAGUAGCAAGAAUAUGAAGGCCGUAAAACAGAGUAGAGGAAAUGAAACAUACAAUUCACUAUAUGACCUGGUUCUAUCAAUUUCAAUCUCUUCCAUAGUUUUUCCAAUUCAUUGACAAAAUCAAGAAUCCUCAAAUAAACUUAAUUAGUUGUGCAUUUGGAAUUACACAGCAGGUCCAACUCUACUAGAAACAUGUACAAUAGCCAUGCCAUAAUCAUAAUUAUAGGCUACAAGAAAUAUUGGACCACAUAAGGGAAAAAGAGAUGCAUUCAGUAAUGGAUAGUGUUAGAACAUAAACAAUAACCUUCUUCCUUGAGUUUCCACCUAGGCUGCCUAACAUAAAGAAGGGUAAAGGUAGGACAUGAUUUGAAAUAUUUAACUAAUAUUUCUAUGUGAUUAGAGAACAAUCCACUCAAGCUGCAACAAAAAGAACCAAGUUCUCUAUAGAUAAAAUUUGUAAAGAGUAAUUUCUUUCUUUAUACUAAGUAAAAAUCUUUUUCUCAAAACAAGUCCCGGUGAAUGCAAUGAGAAGGAAAUUGACUAAGUGACCUUUAGUACUAUGACCUGUUGCAUUUUGUACAGCUCUCUCUUUGCAUAUCGAAUGUUUCAUUUUUUAUUGGUUAACUCAUGAAUAUUUUUUGCAUGUGUUUAAAUCCCUACUGCACAUUAAACAAUAAAGGUUUCUAUUAAAGCAAAGAAUUACCUAUUUUUCUACAACUCACGUUUCACUGCAUUAGCAAGAGUUUUUCUCUCCGCACUUGCGCUAUCCACGGAAAAAAGGAGGCAAAUAUAAUUAGUAGUACAGAUAAUUCAAGAGCAAUUAUACACAAAUAUACAAGUGGAACUACUAAUCGGCACUAGCAGCUUAUAAAAAAGUAGUGAAUGAAUGAUAAUUGGUAGUACAAAUAAGGCUUUACGGAUGCACGACACAAAAAUUUAUAAUUUAUUCUUGAAAUCCCUGUAAUAUUGGAAAGAGUUUUUUCUUCUAGUGUUUUACUCACUUGUAAUUACUAUAGCACUUUGACCAAAAAAAAUACUACAUCACUUCCUUAGUGCUAGCUUUAUAAUACAAUUGUUUUUCUCUAAAAAUGAUUUACUUCUUGAACCUCAAACUUCUUUAGUGCAAGACACUAAGAUUUAUCAAUAAACUAAGGAACAGAAAGGUCACUAUAGUUUUAAUUUUAACAAGGCAACUAAUUCUCUUAAGCUUCUAGUUAAAACCACAAUAAUUAUUAGAUUUUACCGAAUUUUUUUAGAGAACAAAUAACACCUAAUCUCACAAAAUAUCCAAUCACUUAGAACCCGAAAUGUCCAUUGAAACCAGAGAUACAGAUACAACAUCUUCCUCAAGAUGAACGAUAGUAAUACUCACAUCACUAAGUGUAAAUAUUUUCACUCUGCGUUUCCAUCACUAGUGAGGAUAAAAUCAGUACGAUUGAAAUAUAUUAAGUCAAUUUUCAAACAUAUAUAGAUGCUAAAGAAACGAAUAUAGACAAAGCAGAAACUAACUUACAGUGAGAUGUGGGAAUCAAAGUAACACAAUCAAAGAGAGACUUGCAUCCGCAAAGCCAGAAAUAGCCUAUUCUUUAGGAGCAUUACAACCCAAAAAAUAUAGCCAAAGCAUAUGCCAAAAUCUACAUCUAUCCCAAUUCCAAAAAGCACAAAUAUACCACAUAAAAAAUAAUUACAGUCACUAUCUGCUUGUGAAUCUUCAAUCAAUAGAAAGGAAGGUAGUAUUUUAAAAAAAAAAGGUAAAAUAGAAAUACCAACCGAAUAAGACAUGAGACCAUUGAUUAGAAUUGGAAUGGAGCUAUAAGUACUAAUGUGAAUGAAUCACACUAUCUUUGUUUAGAACCUGCAAAAAAAAAAUGGUUUAUUUGAUGCCCAAGUUUUUGCUUUGAGAAAGCGUCGACCCUGGUUAGGACCUCCUAACUAAAAACAUACAAUUGAAGCAUUCAAGGAAUUGAAACCCUAAACUAGAAACAACUAAAACUAGAGAUGAAGGAGCUUACAAUUUUAAGCCAUAGCCGCACUACUAAAAGAUAAGGUUGUCGCUCAUUUGAACCUUGUAACUCAAAAGCACGAGCCGAAGGGUUGAACGAAUUGGUAAAGAUGAAAGCCAAAAUAAAAAUAAAAAGGGGGAGUGAUUCGGGGAUAAAAGGGAGGGACGUUUGGCGCGUUUGUUUUUGCUAAAAAUUGAGAAAGAAUUAAAUAUUGUUUAGGCCACAUGUCAAACAAACUGUUAAGAAAAAUAAGUAUUUUACCAACAAGAAAAUGCUUUUGGCAACACUGACAAUUUAUUGUUGACAAUUUAUUUAUAUUUUAAAAUCAUUAUAUUACCCAAAAAGUUAUGGCAACAAAAUUAAAACAUUAGCCAACGAGAAAUUUUUUGUAAGUUAACGUUCUAUGAUAUAGCAACAACUAAAUAGAGUUGUUGCUAUUUAUUAAUAUUUAGCAACAAUAUCAUUGUUGUUGCUAAAAAGUUAUUGCAAAUUAUAUACUUUCUUGUAGUGUUUAAUAAUUGUCUUAAUCUUAUGAAUAACAAUAUUUUUGUCUAAAAUUGCUAAGUGAUUUUUUAUUAUGCUCUCACUUGGUUUAAUAUGAUUUCUUUGCCUAUCCUUUUAUAAUGUAUAGAUGAUAUAAUAUAUAAUAUAUGAUAUAUAGAUACCUCCUUUAAUAUAACAUAGAUAAUAUAGAUUUUUUAUGUCACGACCCAAAUUCUCCCUCCGUGAGAUGUCGUAACGGCACCUAGUCUCUACGACUAGGUAACCUUAACACUUGCGAAAUAAUAUUAAUGAAAGCAUAAAUUUAACAACUAACUGCAACAGACAAUUAAAUAGUUGAUAUAAGUGUCGCUCGGCAUGUACAAUAACCAACUCUCGAAUAUACACAAAAUAUCCCCAAGACCCGGAACAUCAUAAGUCACAAGCUUCUAAGUAUUUGUCUAACUGCUGCUAGACAUCAGUAACGAGAAAAGGUAAAGGAGGAACAACAUAAAAGGGAUAGAGGGGGACUCCAAGGUCUGUGAACGCGGGCAGAAAUACCUUGAAAUCUCCGGAGCAGCAACAAGUACGCAACUAAUAGCGGGACUUGUAGAAGGUACCUGGAUCUGCACACGAAAUAUGUGCAAAAGAGUAGCAUGAGUACACCUCAACGGUACCUAGUAAGUGCCAAGCCUAACCUCGGUCGAGUAGUGACGAGAUCAGGUCAGGGACCUACUGGUAUAUAUAAAUUAAAUAAUACAAAAUAACAAUAUCGCAGUUUAAUAAGAGACUGAAAUUUAUCAAAAAGGAAAUUAAGAAGAAUAAAGUACAACACACAGGGGUAAAACAGCAGGGGAUCUCUCGAGAUACCGUCUCGUGGUCCUAAAAGUAAAUGUGCAAGGAGAGAUCUCCCGGGAUACCGUCUCGUAGUCCCAAAGUAAAUAUACAGGGGGAUAUCUCGGGACACCGUCCCGUAGUCCUAAAGUAAAUAUGUAGGGGAUCUCUCGGGAUACCGUCCCAUAGUCCCAAAUUAAAUACGCAGCUCAAAACAAUGGAAAUAACAGGUACAACAAGAAAAUCCUACAAUUUAGACUAAGUACACAUCAAGGAAGAUCAGGAAAACUUCCACUAAGCAUGUUGCACAGAGUUCAGAUAAGCAUUUAAGACAAGUAGACAUGCGAUUUUAGGUUAAACAGGGUAACUACACAUGCUAGUAUAACUCAAUUAAGAUGAAACAGGUUAUUACUUAGUAAAAAUCGGGUUUUACAACAAAUAACCCAUGUACGCACUCGUCACCUCACGUACACGGCGAUCACAUAUCACAUCAGUACCAAAUCCUAAGGGGAGUUCCCCAACACAAGGUUAGGCAAGUCACUUACCUCGAACCAAUCUCAAUCAAUCGGUAACAAUGCCUUUUCCACGAUUUUCUGAUUCUGAAUGGCCCAAAUCUAGACAAAAGUAAUUACAUACCAUAAAUACAACUAUAAGAAACUAAUCUAAUUAAUAAAAUCAAGGCUUAAGCAAGCAUUUAGAAAAUCGUCCCAAAAGGUCGACCCGGGCCCACGUCACGGGAUAGGGUAAAAGUCAUAAAAUAUGAACACUCAUUCACUCACGAGUUUACUCGUACCAAAAUUAUCCAAAUCCAAUAUUAAAAUCCAAAUCAAAUCUCAAAAACAUAGUUGAAGAACUUUAAAACUUUUUCCCAAAUUUCUCAACCCAAAUCCUCAAUUAAAUGAUGAAAUCAACUAUAGAUUAGUGGAAUAUAACCAUAAAUGAGUUAAGAAUAAUUACCUAAAAGCUUCCUCUAACAAUCUCCCAAAUUAUGCCCCAAAUUCGAGCGCUAAAAGUCCCAAAAUUGAAAAUGGGAUAAAACCCUCGAACUUGCCCUUUUCUGCCCAGUCGCACCUGCGACACCGCACCUGCGGAAUUUCCAUCGCAGGUGAGGAUUCCACUUAAAUUCAAAUAUUCCACUUUUGCGGACCAGGACUCGCACCUGCGGGCCCACUUCUGCAGAGGACCUUCCGCUUCGGCGACUCUGCCCCAGGUCGCCACUUUCCGCUUCUGCGGUCACUCUUACGCAUCUGCGGAUGCACAGAUGCGGCUCCCGUUUCACACUUGUUCCCCCAGCUGGGCCAAUCUAGCCUCGCACCUACAGCCACACGCUCGCUCUUGCGAGUCCGUAUAUGCAGCCAACCCCACCGCAGGUGCGGUGACACCAGAACAACAGUGCUUCAGCAAUUCUUCCAACUCCCAAUUUGGUCCGUUAACCACACGGAAUCCACCCGAGGCCUACGGGACCUCAACCAAACAUACCAACAAGUCCUAAAGUAUCAUACAAACUUAGGCAAGCCCUCAAAUCACAUCAAACAAUGCUAAAAAUACGAAUCACCCUCCAGUUCAAACUUAAUGAACUUUGAAACUUCAAACUCCUACAACCGAUGCCUAAACCUAUCAAAUCACUUCCGAUUGACCCUAAAUUAUGCACACAAGUCAUAAUUGACAUUUCGAACUUACUCCAUCUUCUGUAAUCGGAAUCCGACCCUGAUAUCAAAAAGUCCACUUCCGGUCCAAAUCUGCAAAAAUUCAAUUUAUACCAUUUCAAGACUAAUUCAGCUACAGACCUCAAAAACAUAAUCCGGAUGCACUCCUAAGUCCAAAAUCACCAAACAGAGCUAACAAAACUGACAAAACUCCAUUCCGGAGUCGUCUUCACACAGUUCCAACCACAGUCAAAAUCCUAGAACUUAAGCUUCCAUUUUAGGGAUUAAGUGUCCUAAAUCACUCCGAAACCAUAAACAAAACCUCCCGGCAAGUCACAUAAGCAGAAAAAGAUACGGGGAAAGCAGUUAAUAGGGGAUCAGGUCUAUUACUCUCAAAAUGACCGGCCGGGUCGUUACAUCCUCCCCCUCUUAAAAUAAUCGUUCAUACUCAAACGAGCAUAGAGACAUACCUGAAGUGGUGAAAAGAUAUGGAUAACGGCUGCGUAUAUCAUGCUCGGUCUCCCAAGUUGCCUCAUCGACCGGCUGACCCCUCCACUGAACCUUCACUGAAGUAAUGCUCUUUGACCUCGGCUUUCGAACCUGCCUGUCCAUAAUAGCCACCGGUUCCUCAACAUAAGAUAAAUCCUCGUCCAACUGGACUGAGCUGAUAUCCAACACAUGAGAUGGAUCACUGUGAUACUUUCGGAGCAUAGAGACAUGGAAUACCGGAUGAACUCCUGCUAGACCGGGAGGUAAGGCAAGCUCAUAAGCAACCUCCCCAACUUGCCGCAACACCUCGAAUGGACCAAUAAACCUUGGGCUCAGCUUGCCCUUCUUCCCGAACCUCACAACACCAUUCAUAGGCGAAACCUAGAGCAAGACCCACUUUCAAGCCAUGAAUGCAACAUCGUGAACCUUCCGAUCGCAUAACUCUUCUGACUGGACUAGGCUGUGCGAAGUCGAUCCUAAAUUACUUUUACCUUCUCCAAAGCAUCCUGAACAAAUUCUGUGCUCAAUAGCCUAGUCUCACCCGGUUCGAACUAACCCACCGGAGACCGACAUCGUCUACCAUACAAUGUCUCAUAUGGUGCAAUCUGAAUGCUUGACAAAAAACUAUUGGUGUAGGCAAACUCUUCAAGUCGUAAGAACUGAUCCCAAGUACCUCCCAACUCCAUCACACACACAUGGAGCAUAUCCUCUAGUAUCUGAAUAGUGCGCUCGGACUGUCCGUCCGUCUGAUGGUGAAAUGUUGUGCUCAACUAAACUCGAGUACCUAACACAUAUUGUAUGGCUCUCCAAAACCGUGAUGUAAGUUGCGUACCCCGGUCAGAGAUGAUAGAUACCGGCACACCAUGAAGCCUGAUAUAAACUCGAGCCAGCUGCUCGGAAGAAUAAGUAGUCAUCACAGAAAUGAAAUGAAUUGACUUGGUCAGCCUGUCUACAAUCACUCAAACUGCAUCAAACUUUCGUUGAGUCCGUGGAAGCCCAACAACAAAAUCCAUAGUGAUCCGCUCCCGUUUCCACUCCAGAAUCUCUAACUUCUGAAGCAACCCACCUGGCUGCUGAUGCUUAUACUUCACCUGCUGGAAAUGUAGACACCGGGCUACAUAUUCCACUAUGUCCUUCUUCAUUAUCCUCCAAUAAUAAUGCUGCUUCAAGUCCUGAUACAUCUUCGCGACACCCGGAUGAAUAGAGUACCGCGAACUGUGAGCCUCCUGGAGAAUCAACUCACGCAAUCCGUCUACAUUGGGCACACAUAGCAUGUCCUGCAUCCUCAAUGCACCAUCAUCUCCAAUAGUGACCUCCUUAGCAUCACCGUGCUAAACCGUGUCCUUAAGGACGAGCAUAUGGGGGUCAUCUUACUGACGCUCCCUGAUACGACCAUAAAGAGAAGACUGGGAGACUACACAAGCCAAAACUCAUCUCGGCUAAUAAAUAUCCAAUCUAACAAACUGGUUGGCUAAGGCCGGAAUAUCCAAUGCCAAUGGCCUCUCUGCUGCUGGUAGAUAUGCUAAGCUCCCCAAACUCUCCGCCCUGUGACUCAGGGCAUCGGCCACCACAUUGACCUUCCCGGGAUGGUAGAGAAUAGUGAUGUCAUAAUCCUUAAGCAUCUCUAACCACAUCCGCUGAUGCAAGGUAAGAUCCUUUUGCUUGAACAGAUGUUGCAAACUCCGGUGAUCAGUGUAGAUCUCACAAGGGACACCGUACAAAUAGUGCCGCCAAAUCUUUAAGGCACGAACAAUAGCUGAUAACUCAAGGUCGUGGACAUGAUACUUCUUUUCAUGUACCUUCAGUUGUCUUCAUGCGUAGACAAUCACCCUACGGUCCUGCAUCAACACUAUUACAUAUCAUAAUAUACAAUAUAAGACCUCGAACCUGUAGGAAAUACCAAUACCGGGGCCGUAGUCAAAGCUGUCUUGAGCUUUUGAAAGCUCUCUUCACACUCCUCUGUCCAUCUGAAUGGAGCACCCUUCUGUGUCAGCCUAGUCUUAGGUGCUGCAAUAGAUGGGAAACCUUCUACAAAUCGACGGUAAUACCCCCGCCAACCUAAGGAAACUCCGGAUCUCCGUAGCUGAUGACGGUCUGGGCCAACUCUGCACUACUUCCACUUUCUUCGGAUUCACUUUGAUCCCCUCACUCGACACUACGUGACCCAAAAAUGCUACUGAGUCUAACCAGAACUCACACUUUGAAAUUUUUGCAUAUAACCUCUUUUCUCUGAAGGUUUGAAGCACAGUCCUCAGGUGCUGCUCACGAUCCCCCCGACUCCGGGAGUACACUAGAAUGUCGUCAAUAAACACAAUGAUAAACGAGUCAAGAUAGGUCCGGAAUACACUGUGCAUCAAAUGCAUAAAUGCUGCUGGGGCGUUGGCAACCCAAAUGACAUCACAAGGAACUCGUAAUGACCGUACCGAGUCCUGAAAGCAGUCUUCGGGAUAUCUGGCUCCCGAAUUUUCAACUGAUGAUAACCUGAAUGUAAGUCAAUCUUGGAAUACACUAUGUCACCCUAUAACUGAUCAAAUAAUUCAUCAAUACGAGGCAAUGGAUACCUGUUCUUCAUUGUAACUUUGUUCAACUGGUGAUAAUCAAUGUACAUACGCAUAGAACCAUCCUUCUACUUCACAAAUAAGAUUGGGGCACCCCAAGGUAACACACUAGGCCAAAUGAAGCCCUUAUCAAGUAAUUACUGUAACUGUUCCUUCAACUCCUUCAACUCAGGAGGAGCCAUAAGAUAUGGAGGAAUAGAGAUGGAUUGAGUUCCCGGCAACAAAUCAAUACCAAAGUCGAUAUCUUUGUAGGGCGGCAUGCCUGGAAGAUCUGCUGGAAAUACAUCAGGAAAAUCCCUCACUAUUGGGACUGACUCAACUGUAGGGGUAUCNNNNNNNNNNNNNNNNNNNNNNNNNNNNNNNNNNNNNNNNNNNNNNNNNNNNNNNNNNNNNNNNNNNNNNNNNNNNNNNNNNNNNNNNNNNNNNNNNNNNNNGAUACGCGGCAUAACCCUUCUCAACCAUUCGUUGAGCUUUAAUAAAUGAACUAACUCAGCUGGAAGUAUAAUCUAAGGUACUUCUCCACUUUAACCGCGGUAAUCCUUGAAUAGACAACGUCACAGUCUUGGCGUGACAAUCAAGAGUAGCAUAAUGGGGUGACAACCAGUCCAUGCCUAAAAUAAUAUCAAAAUCUACCAUACUGAGCAAUAAUAGAUCGGUUCUGGUCUCAAAACCACUAAGAACAACCAAACACGAUCGAUACACACGGUCAACAACAAUAGAAUCUCCCACAGGUGUAGACACAUAAACAUGAGAACUCAAGGAAUCACGAGAUAUGCCCAAAUACAUGACAAAAUAACAUGACACAUAGGAAUAUGUAGAGCCUAUAUCAAAUAAAAUUGAUACAUCUAUAUGAUAGACCGGAAUACUACCUGUAAUAACAACGUCAGAAGCAACUACCUUUGUACGAGCAGGAAGAGAAUAAUAUCGGGCCUGGCCUCCCCCUCUAGGGUGACCUCUACCUCCCCGACCUCCACCUCGAGCUGGCUAAGCAGGUGGAGUGGUAGCUGCUGCUGUAAUCAUAGCCUGAGGACCGGUGGAGCACAUGGUGUCUGAGAAGUCUAUAGAGGUGCACCCCUCCUAGGUCUGGGGUAAUCCCUUACCAUAUGGCGAGUGUCGCCACACUCAAAACAAGCUCUCGGAGGGCAUGGCUGUUGUGGUUGGCUCGGGCCAAGUUUGCUGGAUUGACCGCUGAAAGCACCCAUGCAUGAGGUACACUAGAUACUGGCGGUGCAUAAUACGACUCCUAGGGCCUUGUAGUAGCCGGAAUACCACUGGCGGCUGGAAGUGCUGAAUGAACAUAGCGACUCACACAACCCCUACCAUGUCAAACUGCAGCCGUGUCACGAGUACCAGUAUAAGUGCCCGACUCUCGAGACCUCUUGGCCUUCCUCUCCUCUCUCUCUCGAGCAAGCAUGCCCUCUACUCUCCUAGCAAUACUCACGACCUGUUGGUACGAAAUAUUCAUCUCCAACUCUCGGGCCAUGCUAAUCCUGAUGCUGGGAUGGAGCCCCUUGAUAAACCGACGAACCCUCUCUCGAACUGUAGCAACCAAGACCGGUGCAUGUCUAGCCAAAUCACUGAAACGAACUGCAUACUCUGACACAGUGAUAGCACCCUAGCGCAACUGCUCAAAGGUGGAGUGUCAUGCAUCUAUGAGGCUCUAGGGAACAUACUCCCUCAAAAACAUAUCCGAGAAUUGAGUCCAAGUAAGUGCAGCUACCUCAGCCGGACUUUCCAACUCAUAAGUACGCAACCACUGAUAGGCUGCUCCUCUAAGAUGUAACACAGUGAAAGAAACCCCACUCGACUCAGUUACGCCCAUAGUAUGGAGGAUACGGUGGCAAUCCUUAAGAGAACCCUAGGUAUCCUCUAACGCCAAACCACUAAAAGUAGGAGGGUGCUACUUCUGGUACCUCUCGAGCCUAUGCUGCUCCUCUUCAGAAACUGCUGCCCCUACCCUUAAGCUGAACUGGGGCUACUGGCGACACCUAUAUAACCUUUGGAAUCUGAUCGACCUGAACCCAUUGCAUGGGGUAUGAGCAGCGAAAGUCUGUACACUUCCCCUGAAUUGAGAUGUGGUAGGAGCAAGGGGAAUCAACCGUACCUGAUCUAGAGUAUCGAACAUGCUCAGGAACUGUGCAAGGGUCUCCUAGAGAGCUGGUGCAAUGACAGGCAUCUCGGGUGCCUGCGCUCCGACUGGAGCUACUGGUGGCUCCUUUAUAGUGGCUUGUGCAGGUGCUCUGGCUGCACUACGUGGACGUCCUAGGACUCUACCCCGGCCCCGGCCUCUCGCGGCUCUAGCAGGGGCACGGGUACCUGGUCAUCUGAUCCGGCUGUAUGUGUCUUCACCAUUUGUGAGAGAAUAGAAGACAGAGGUUUAGAAUUUCGAAGUCAACAGUUUCGCAUGACAAGGAUUCAAAAGAAGUGAAAUUUUCCUAACAGUUCCAUAGCCUCCCGAAGAUAAGUACAAACAUCUCCAUACCGAUCCGGGAGACUCUACUAAACCUGCUUGUGACUCACGACACCUAUGAACCUAGACCUCUGAUACCAAAAUGUCAUGACCCAAAUACUCCCUCCGUGAGAUGCCGUGAUGGCACCUAGUCUCUACGCCUAUGUAAGCGUAACACUUGCGGAAUAAUAAAAAUGAAAGCAUAAAUUUAACAACUAACUGCAACAAAUAAUUAAAUAAUUGAUAUAAGUGCCACUCGACAUGUACAAUAACCAACUCUCGAAUAUACACAGAAUUUCUUCAAGACCCGGAACAUCAUAAGUCACAAGCUUCUAUGAAUUUGUCUAACUAUUUCUAUACAUCAGUAAAUAGAAGAAGUAAAUGAGGAACAACAUAAAAGCGAUAGAGGGGGACUCUGAGGUCUGCGGACGCGGGAAUAUGUACCUUGAAGUCUCCGGAGCAGGCAAGUACGCAACUAAUAGCGGGGCUGGUAGGAGGUACCUGGAUAUGCACACAAAACAUGUACAGAAGAGUAGCAUGAGUUCACCAUAAUGGUACCCAGUAAGUACCAAGCCUAACCUCGGUCGAGUAGUGACGAGGUCAGGUCAGGGCCCUAUUGGUAUAUAUAAAUUAAAUAAGGCAAAAUAAAAAUAUUGCAGUGUAAUAAGAGACUGAAAGUUAACAAAAAAGAAAUCACAGAAGAACAGUAUAGUACACAGGGGUAAAACAAUAGGGGAUCUCUCGAGAUACCGUCUCGUAGUCCCAAAAAUAAAUGUGCGGGAGGGGGGGGGGGGGAAAUCUCCCGGGAUACCGUCCCAGAGUCCCAAAGUAAAUAUGCAGGGGGAUCCCCCAGGAUACUGCCCCAUAGUCCCAAAGUAAAUAUGCACGGGGGAUCUCCCGGGAGACUGUCCCGUAGUCCCAAAGUAAAUUUGCAGGGGGAUCUCCCGGGAUACCGUCUCGUAGUCCCAAAGUAAAUACGCACAUCAAAACAAUGGAAAUAAUAGGUAGGCAAGAAAAUCCUACAGUUUAGUAAAAAUCAGGUUUUACAAGUUAUUACUUAGUAAAAAUCAGGUUUUACAACAAAUAACCCAUGAACGCAGUCGUCGCCUCACGUACAUGACGAUCUUAUAUCACAUCAGUACCAAAUCCCCAGGGGAGUUCCCCCACACAAGGUUAGGCAAGCGAUUUACCUCAAACCAAGCUCAAUCAAUCGGUAACAAUGCUGUUUCCACUAUUUUCCGACUCCGAAUGGCCCAAAUCUAGCCAAAAACAAUUACAUACCUUAUUUACAACUAUAAGAAACUAAUCUAAUUAAUGAAAUCAAGGCUUAAGCCAGAAAUUAGAAAAUCUAAAUGUCGACCCGGGCCCACAUCUCGGGAUCGGGUAAAAUUCUCAAAAUAUGAACACUCAUUCACUCACGAGUUCACUCGUACCAAAAUUAUCCAAAUACGAUAUCAAAAUCCAAAUCAAAACUCAAAAACUUAGUUGAAGAACUUUCCAAUUUUUUCCCGAAUUUCUCAACCCAAAUCCUCAACUAAAUGAUGAAAUCAACUAUAGAUUAGUGGAAUAUAACCAUAAAUGAGAUAACAAUCGUUACCCAAAAGCUUCCUCUGAAAAUCUUCCAAAUUAUCGCCCAAUUCCGAGCUCUCAAAGUCCCAAAAUUGAAAAUGGGAUAAAACCCUCGAACUUGGCCCUUUUCUGCCCAGUGAUUCCGCUUCUAUGGGCUUCCAGUCACACAUGCGAUGCCGCACCUGCGGGCACACGCUCAUUCCUGCGAGUCCGCAUCUGCGGCCAACCCCACCGCAGGUGUGGUGACACCAGAACAUCAGUGCUUCAGCAAUUCUUCUAACUUCUAAUUUGGUCCGUCAACCACCCGAAAUCCACCCGAGGCCCUCGGGACCUCAACCAAAUAUACCAAUAAUUCUUAAAAAAUAAUAUGAUCUUAGUCAAGCACUCAAAUCACAUCAAACGAUGCUAAAAACAUGAAUCACCUUCUAGUUCAAACAUAAUGAACUUUGAAACUUUAAACUCGUACAACCGAUGCUGAAACCUAUCAAAUCACGUCCGAUUGACCUCAAAUUUUGCACACAAGUCAUAAUUGACAUUAUGAACCUACUCCAACUUCUGGAAUCAGAAUCCGACCCCGAUAUCAAAAAGUCCAUUUGCGGUCAAAAUCUCCAAAAAUUCAAUUUUCGCCAUUUCAAGCCUAAUUCAGCUACAUACCUCCAAAACACGAUCCGGACGUGCUCCUAAGUUCAAAAUCACCCAACGGAGCUAAUGGAACCGGCAAAACUCCAUUCAAGAGUCGUCUUCACACAGUUCCAACCACGGCCAAAAUCCUAGAACUUAAGCUUCCGUAAAUUACUCCGAAACCACAAAUAAAACCUUUCGGCAAGUCACAUAAGCAGAAAAAGAUAUGGGAAAAGCAGUAAAUAAGGGAUCGGGGCUAUAACUCUCAAAACGACCAGGUGGGUCGUUACAUCUUACUUCGUCCAAUAUAAAUAUUUUUAUUAUUAUUUUGUAUAAAAUGUAUCAAUAUUUUCAUUAUCUUUUUCUACAUUAUAUCGAAUAAGUAAUUAGACUUUUCUUCUAUUUUAUUUUUGAUAUAAAGUUUUGAUUUGUAUAUUUUUUUAUUAUGUUGCUCUUAAUUAUUUCUAAUUCAAAUUAUAAUUUUCUUCUAUAUUUAAAUUCAAAUUCAAAAAGAGUAACUAAUUAUUAAUAAUAAAUAAUGCAUAAUUUAUUUAUUUUUUAAAUGUAAAUUAAAAAAGCUAACUAUUACCUAACCUAACUAAUUUUGUCCUAAAAUUGUCAAGUGAAUUUUUAUUAUGUUGCCACUUUGCUUACUAUGGUGUCAUUACCUCUCCUACUAUAUAUAGAUAGAUUAUAUGGAAUAAGCAAUUAGACUUUUCUUUUAUUUUGUUUUCAAUAUAAAGUUUUGAUUUUUAUAUUUUUUACUAUGUUGCUUGUAAGUAUUUGAAUUUCAAAUUAGACUUUUCUUCUAUAUUUAAAUUCAAAUUCACAAAUGAUAAUUAAUUAUUAAUAAUAAAUAAUGCAUGUUUUUUUUUAAAAAUUAAAUCAAAAAAGAAACUAAUUAUUACCUAACCUAACUAACUUGGUCCUAAAAUUGCCAAGUGGCUUGUUAUUGCCACAUGGCACAUGUCACGACCCCAAUAUUUCCCCCGUAGGAUGUCGUGAUGGCACCUAGUCUUAGCGACUAGGUAAGCCUAACAUGUGCUAAAAUAAUAACCAUAUUUAUCUAACGACUGACCAAUACGAAAUAGAAAUCUCCAUACAAAACUUACAAUUCCAAAACUGGUAGUACAAGUCAUAAGCUCUACUGAGUUUGAGUCUCCACAACAAGAUUCAAACAGCUAGCUAGCGAUGGACUGACUCCGAAAUAUCUGGAUCUGCACAAAAAUAUGCAGAAGCGUAGUUUGAGUAUACCACAGCGGGACCCAGUAAGUAUCAAGACUAACCUCAGUGGGGUAGUGACGAAGGGAAGUCAAGACACCUAUUGGACUAAAUAACCUGGACAAGUAUAGGUGUAGAACAAACAGAGUACGAUUUCUCUACAAAACUACGCGUAAUGACAACAAAAAUAUAGUACUUGCAGUAGGAAAUAUAAGCAACAAUUAGAAGUAGGACACAACAAGUAAUAACACAGUAGAGUAAGCGGAACACAGUUUAAAUCCAAUGAAAACAAAUAAUGGAAAGACAAGUAACAACUCGAUAAGAAUAACCGCUUUCACACCAGGUUGAUCCAAUAAUCUCCACGAGGUACCAAACCUCAAAAUAGUCACAAUUCACGGGUCCCAAUUCGUGAACCCUAAUCACUUGUGUCACGACCCGGAUUUUCUACUGUCGGGAUCGUGAUGGCGCCUAAAAUUUCACUUACUAGGCAAGCCAACGUUAGAAUAGUUCAUCCAUUUUUAACAGUUUGAAUUAAAUAAUGCGAAAUAACUGAAUAAAUGAUAUAAUCUGAAGUAUAAAUGUGGAAGCUAAGACUGCCAAAUAUCUACUACAAAUCCCUGAACCUGGUGUCACAAGUGCAUGAGCUACUAAAAUAAUGCAUACAAGGGUUUGAAAUAAAUACAGAGUUGUCUAAAUGAAAAUACAUAGCCUAAUAAAAGGAAGAGAAGGGGACUCCAGGAGCUGCGGGAACUGAGCAGCUGUACCUCAAGUCUUCGUACGCUGUCUGACCCGAGCUCACUGAUAACCGCUACUGGGAUCGACUCACAAAUCUGCACAAGAAGUGCAGAGUAUAGUAUGAGUAAAACCGAGCCCAUGUACUCUAUAAGUGCCGAGCCUAACCUCGACGAAUUAGUAACGAGGCUAAGGCGGGUCACCUAUACUACAACCUGUACAUAGUAUAUAAUAACGGAAGAAAUGGAAAUACGGAACACGAUAAGACAGUCAACUGAAAAUAAUGACUACAGCCUCAAGAAAUAAACCAGUGUCCUUCAGAAUUACCAAUCCUUAGCAUUUCAAAUGAGAAAACCGAAAACCAAACAUAGCUCAAGAAAUGGAAACACAUAGGUUGUUUCGGCACGCAACCCGAUCCCACCGUAUAACACAGAAUCCUCCCUUAUUACAAUGUAAUAACAUCAACAACAGNNNNNNNNNNNNNNNNNNNNNNNNNNNNNNNNNNNNNNNNNNNNNNNNNNNNNNNNNNNNNNNNNNNNNNNNNNNNNNNNNNNNNNNNNNNNNNNNNNNNNNNNNNNNNNNNNNNNNNNNNNNNNNNNNNNNNNNNNNNNNNNNNNNNNNNNNNNNNNNNNNNNNNNNNNNNNNNNNNNNNNNNNNNNNNNNNNNNNNNNNNNNNNNNNNNNNNNNNNNNNNNNNNNNNNNNNNNNNNNNNNNNNNNNNNNNNNNNNNNNNNNNNNNNNNNNNNNNNNNNNNNNNNNNNNNNNNNNNNNNNNNNNNNNNNNNNNNNNNNNNNNNNNNNNNNNNNNNNNNNNNNNNNNNNNNNNNNNNNNNNNNNNNNNNNNNNNNNNNNNNNNNNNNNNNNNNNNNNNNNNNNNNNNNNNNNNNNNNNNNNNNNNNNNNNNNNNNNNNNNNNNNNNNNNNNNNNNNNNNNNNNNNNNNNNNNNNNNNNNNNNNNNNNNNNNNNNNNNNNNNNNNNNNNNNNNNNNNNNNAUAUAUAUGGUGGCGCGCAACCCUAUCCCACCAUAUAUCAAUAUCAGUAUCAUAAUUCACCCUUAUUUCACUAUAUCAAUCCACCCUUAUUCCACCUGUUGUGGCGUGCAACCCAAUCCCACUAUACAGUACUCGUUCACCCUUAUUCCACCAUGUCAAUCCACCCUUAUUCCACCUGUUGCGGUGUGCAACCCGAUUCCACCAUAUCAGUACCAAAUACCCAAUGUGCACAGUCAAAUUAAUAAUACAAACCACGAAAACCUUUACGAUCAAUAAAUACCAUGCUGAACCAUAACGAAAAACCUCGUACAACACAGGAAGCUACAUAGGUAAUACUACACAGCGUGACCAAACCAGUAGUUGACAAUUAGAAGGUGCAAGUAAGUCAGAUUAAGCAAAUAGCAGGGUAUCACGAAACUAUGAAAAGAGCUAACAUCAUUAACAGGAGAGGAUAUUGAUUAACAGGUAGCAGUUAUGCAUGGAAAGCAUUUAGAGCAUAUAACAUAUAAGACAUGGAUGGAAAUAAUUAAGGAAAAGUAGAAAAUCAGGGAAAACAGCAAAUUCGGCGAUGUAUAAGUACUCGUCACCUUGCAUAUACUCUGCUCAUAUGAAAAUCACAUAGCAUAUAGUAUGACGGUUCCUAAUUCCCUCAAGUCAAGGUUAGACACAACACUUACCUCACUCCAAAAGACCACUCAAAGCUCAACCACAGCUUUGCCUUUCAAACAAGCCUCCGAAUCAACAAUAUCUAGCAAAUUACCAACAAAACAAUUCAAAAUAAGCCUUAGGAAUCACCCAUGAUUGCAAAAGAUUCAAUUUAGGUCAAUAUUGAAAAAGUCAACAAAAGUCAACUCCCGGUCUUGCUUAGUCCAAAGCCGAAAUUCAGACCAAAGCCGGAUAACCCAUUCACCCUCGAUCUCGAUUAUGUAAUUUGUUUUGGAAUCUGUUCUCAAUUUGAGGUCUAAAUCCGAAUUUUACAAAAAUCCAUAAUUCAACCCAAACCCCCAAAUUCCCACCAUGAAAACACUAGAUUUUAGGUUCAAACUUGUGAAAUGUAAUGAAAGAUUGAAAGAAAAUAGGUUAGGAUCACUUACCAAUGAUUUGGGGAAGAAGGGUGCUUGGGAAAAUCGCCCCUAUGGUUUUCUUGUUUUGAAAAUUUGAAGAAUGAGUGAAAAUUCCCUUUUUAUAGCUAUUUGAUCAGUCGCAGGUGUCAUAUUUGCGAACCUACAAAUGCGAAGAGUGACCAGUCCUGCUGCCUUCGCAAAUGCGAUCAUAAUGUUCGCAAAUGCGGACCUUUGUUGAUUGCAAAUGCGACCCCAAUUUUGCAAUUGCGAAAGUCCUCCCCCAGCCCACUGCUCGCUAAUGCGAUGUUUCCUUCGCAAAUGCUUUGUGAGCCAGACCUCGCAAAUGCGAAGUAUGCAGAACUGAUGCAGCGACUGUGUUUUUUCUAAGUUCAAUUCACUCCGUAGCCUAGCCGAAACUCACCUGAUCCCUCGAGGCUCCAAACCAAACAUGCACACAAAUCCAAAAAUAUCAUACGAACUAGCUCGCGCGAUCAAAUCGCCAAAAUAACACCUAGAAUUACCAAUUGAACACCAAAUCAAAUGAAAUUUACAAGAAAACUUUAAAACUUAUAUUUUCAAAACCAGACGUCCGAAUCACGUCAAACCAACUCUGCUUCUCACCAAAUUUGACAGGCAAGUCAUAAAUAUAGUAAUGGACCUGUACCGGGCUCCGAAACCAAAACACGUACCCGGUAUCAACAAGACCAAACAUCAGUCAAUUCCUAAAAUCAUUAAGCUUUCAAACUUUCAAUUUUCAACAAAAAUUAAAAACUCGAGCUAGGGACAUCCGAAUUCGAUUCCGAGCAUACGUCCAGGUCCCAAAUUACGAUACGGACCUACCAUGACCGUCAAAACACGGAUUCGGGUCCGUUUUCUUAAAACAUUGAUCGAAGUCAACUCAAAUGAAUUUUUAAGGCAAGAAUUCUUAUAUUUAUCAGUUUUUAACCUAUAAGCCUUUCAAAAAAACACUCAGACUGUGCAUGCAAAUCGAGGAAGGCUAAAAUAGCAUUUUAAGGCUUCGAAACACCGAAUAAGGUUCUAAUAUAUAAGAUGACAUAUUGGGUCAUCAUAUUCUCCACCUCUAAAACAAUAGUUCAUCCUCGAACGGACAUAGAAAAGUACCUGGGCUGGUGAAAAAGUGUGGAUAUCUACUCCGCAUGUCCGGCUCGGACUCCCAAGUAGCUGCCUCGACGGGCUGACCUCUCCACUGCACUCGAACUGAAGGAUAACUCUUGGACCUCAACUGACGAACUUGCCGGGCUAGAAUAGCUACCGGCUCCUCCUUGUAAGUCAAAUCCUUAUCCAACUAGACAGAGCUGAAAUCUAGCACAUGGGAUAGAUCACCGUGAUACUUCCGGAGCAUGGACACAUGGAAUACCAGAUGAACUGCUCACAAACUAGGUGGCAAUGCGAGCUUGUUAGCCACCUCACCCACUCUAUAAAGAAUCUCAAAAGGUCCGAUAUACCUAGGGCUCAACUUGCCCUUCUUUCCAAACCUCAUUACACCCUUCAUGGGUGAUACCCGGAGCAACACUCUCUCUCCGACUAUGAAUGCAACAUCACGAACUCUACGGUUGGCAUAACGCUUCUGCAUGGACUGAGUUGUGUGAAGUCUAUCCUGAAUAAUCUUGAACUUAUCCAAGGCAUCUUGUACCAAAUCUAUACCCAAUAUCCGAGCCUCCCCCGGAUCAAACCACCCAACUGGCGAUCCGCACCGCCUACCAUAUAAUGCCUUAUACGGAGCCAUCUGAAUGCUCAAUUGGUAGAUGUUGUUGUAGGCAAACUCCGCAAGCGGCAAGAACUGAUCCCCAGAGCCUCCGAAGUCUGUAACACAAGCGCGAAGCAUAUGCUCCAAUAUUUGAAUGGUGCGCUCAGACUGCCCGUCUGUCUGAGGAUGGAAUGUUCUGCUCAACUUAGCCUGCGUGCAAAAUCACAUUGUACUGCCCUCCAGAAGUGUGAGGUAAACUGCGUACCUCGAUCAGAAAUGAUAGACGCGGGCACUCCAUGAAGACGGAAGAUCUCACGGAUGUAAAUCUCAGCCAACCGCUCUGCGGAGUAGGUAACUGCCACAUGAAUGAAAUGUGCUGACUUGCUCAGCCUUUCCACAAUGACCCAAGCUGCAUCGAACUUCCUCUAAGUCUGUGGGAGUCCAACAACGAAAUCCAUAGUGAUAGUAUGAUGCUCAUACUUUACUUGCUGAUAAUUUCGACACCGAGCUACAUAUGCAACUAUGUCCGUCUUUAUCCUCCUCCACUAAUAAUGCUUCCGCAAGUCCUGAUACAUCUUGGCAGCACCCAGAUGAAUAGAAUACUAGGAACUGUGGGCCUCCUUAAGAAUCAACUCACGAAGUCUAUCUAUAUUAGGUAUACAAACACUCCCCUGCAUCCUCAAAAACUCCAUCAUCUCCAACGGUAAGCUGCUGGGCAUCACCGUGCCGCACUGUGUCCCUAAGGACAAGUAAAUGAGGGUCAUCAUACUGUCACUCCCUGAUGCGCUUAAAAAAGGAAGACCAAACGACUGUACAAGCUAGAACAUGACUAGGCUCAGAAACAUCCAACCUAACGAACUUAUUGGCCAAAGAUUGAACAUCUAAAUGCAAGCAGUAUCUCACCGACUGGAAUGUAUGCAAGGCUGACCAUACUCAUUGAUUUCCUACUCAAGGCAUCGGCCACCGCAUUGGCCUUCCCGGGAUGAUACAAGAUGGUGAUAUCAUAGUCUUUCAAUAGCUCCAACCACCUCCUCUGCCUCAAAUUGAGCUCCUUUUGCUUGAACAAAUACUGCAAACUCUGCUGAUUCGUGAAUACCUCACAUGACACGCCGUAAACAUAGUGCCUCAAAAUCUUUUCCGCAAGAACAAUAACCGCCAACUUUAAGUCAUGAACAAAGUAAUUCAUCUCAUGAACCUUCAUAUGCCGCGACGCGUAUACGAUCACCUUGCCACCCUGCAUCAAUACCGUAUCAAGUCCAAUAUGAGAUGCAUCACAAUAUACCGUAUACGAUACCAAAUGACACCAACACUGACACCAUAGUCAAAGCAGUCGUGAGCUUCUGAAAGCUCAUCUCACACUCGUCUGACCAUUUGAACAGGGCACCCUUCUGGGUCAACCUAGUCAACAGGGUUGCUAUAGAUGAAAACCCCUCCACAAACCGACGGUAAUAUCCCACCAAACCCAAGAAAAUCCGGAUCUCCGUAGCUAAUGUAGGUCUAGGCUAGUUCUAAACUACCUCAAUAUUCUUAGGAUCCAUCUCAAUGCCCUCUGCUGAUACAUCGUGCCCCAAGAAAGCGACUGAGCUCAACCAAAACUCGCAUUUUGAAAACUUAGCAUAUAACUAGCUGUGUCUUAGAGUCUGAAGUACGAUCCGAAGAUACUGCUCAUACUCCUCUCGACUAUGGGAGGAGAUCAAGAUAUCAUCAAUAAACACAAUCAUAAAGGAAUCCAGAUAAGGUUUGAACACCCAAUUCAUCAAAUCUAUGAAUGAUGCUAGGACAUUUGUCAGCCCAAAUGACAUCAUUCGAAACUCAUAAUGCCCUUACCGAGCCCGAAAAGCUGUCUUAGGGACGUCAGAUGCCCUAAUCCACAAUUGAUGGUAGCUAGACCUCAAAUAAAUUUUUGAAAACACCUUGGCACCUUGAAGCUGCUCAAAUAAGUUAUCAAUCCUCGGCAAUGGAUACUUGUUCUUGAUGGUGACUUUGUUCAACUGCCGAUAAUCUAUGCACAUCUUCAUCGAUCCAUCCUGCUUCUUCACAAACAACACAGGCGCACCCCAGGGUGAGACACUAGGUGUAAUGAAUCCCUUAUCAAGCAAAUCUUGCAACUACUCCUUCAAUUCUUUCAACUCUGGCGGGGCCAUGCGGUAUGGAGGAAUUGAAAUGGGCUGAGUGCCCGGAGCGAAAUCAAUACAGAAGUCAAUGUCUCUAUCGGGUUGCAUCCCCGGCAGAUUUGCAGGAAACACCUCUUGAAACUCACGAACAACUGGUACUGAAUCCAUGGAAGAAAGCUCCGCACUAGAAUCACAGACAUAAGCCAAAUAAGCUAGACACCCCUUCUCAACCAUAUGCCGAGCCUUCACAUAAGAGAUGACCCUGCUGGUAGAAUGGCCAGCAGUCCCUCUCCACUCUAAUCGAGGCAACCCCGGAAAGGCUAAGUUCACCGUCUUGGUGUGAGAAUCCAAUAUAGCAUGAUAAAGUGACAGCCAAUCCAUAACCAAAAUGACAUCAAAAUCAACCAUAUCGAGAAGUAAAAGAUCUAUGCUAGUCUCAAGACCCCCUAUGAUAAUCACACACGAACGAUAAACACGAUCUACAAUAAUAGAAUCUCCCACAAGUGUGGACACAUACAUAGGAGAACUAAAAGAAUCACGAGGCACAACCAGAUAUGAAGCAAAAUAGGAUGACACAUAGGAAUAAGUAGAGCCCCGAUCAAAUAGAACUGAAGCAUCUCUAUGGCAAACUGAAAUAGUACCUGUGAUAACCGCGUCAGAUGACUCAACCUCAGGCCUGGCUGGGAAAGAAUAACAUCGGGGCUGGGCCCCACCACUCUGAGCUAUAUCCCUAGGACGGCCUCCUGCUGGCUGGCCUCCACCUCUAGCGACCUAACCUUCAUCUUUAACGGCCUGACCUAUACUGCUGGUUGCCUGACCCCUACCCCUAGCUGGUUGAGCGGGCGGUGGUGCAACUGGUGCUAGAAUCAUGGCACGAGAACUCAGAUGUGGCGUGCGGCACAAUAAUCUCGAAAAAUUCCUUUUGAUAUGCCCCAAACCACCAUAAUCAAAAUAUCCAUUCUGGUGUUGUGGCUGCUGAAACUGAGGUUGGCCCAAACGCGGCGGAUGACCACAGUAGUAACUAUGAAUAGGAGGUACACUGAUAGAAGCUGGUGGUGCACAGUAGGCUGGCUGUCCAUAAUGAGGCACAUAGGGACCACGACUCCCUGAAGCACUGUGGGAUGCCUGAAGCACUGACUGAUAUGACCUGGGAGGAUCGCCCCAACCAAAAGUGCCCCUGCCUCUAGAUGAGGCACUUCUAAAACCAACGAAAUGAUGAGGCCUCUUAUCAGACCCUUGCCCUCUCUCCUGUGAAAGAACAUCCUCGAUCCGCCUCGCGACAGUAGCAACCGUCUGACAAGGAUUCUCAUUUCUGGUCUCAUUGUCCAUCUACAACGUGAUAGGAUGAGCGAGUUCCUCAAUAAACCUCCUCACCUUCUCUCUC